CACGGCGACAGAGCCCCGCCAUGUCUCCUCGCCUCGCCGAGACGGGCACCGUAUCCGCGUGGUCGUGCGUGUGCCCCUUGUAUCCAUUUGAAAUUGCGGGAGCGUCCGCCGUCUUUCCGGUGGAACUGCGUCGGUCGCCGGCGCUGCCCCGAGUAUUCCUCUACUACAAGCCUGUCGCCUCCCCUCCCUCCGCCCCGGGGCAGCAUUCCGUCGAACAAAUCGUCUCUUUCACAUGUCAGUCUGUCAGACACCUUUAUUUGUUAAUCACCGGUCUACCUGAGACCAGCCUUUUCUACCCGUCAUCAAUUAACACAGUAUUCAGCAUGAGUUCCACUGGUUAGUGGUUCAGUUCAUCAUUGCAUGGCUUUAUCUUUGUGCUGUAACAACAGCUGUUUCAUGGACCGAUAUAAUUCUCAAAUGAUUGCUUCAAAAGCGGAUCAGACACAACUCAAAGGGAUGUGGCUGGUGCCACCAUUGAUAAUACCUAAUAUCACUAUCCAAGAAUGACUUAUCAACACCUGAGCCCUGUUCAUCUGAAAAGAAGUAUUAGUUUGCUUUACGGUAUAUGGGGUCUUGAGGUGUCAACUAUCCCUCCAGGGAGUGUAAAUCUUUUCCAAGAAAGCGAAAGGUAAAAUUCUAAUGGUAGACGAAUAUCUAUAAACGAAAGUGUCCUUCUAAAUGGUUUAUUUUAUUAAAUAUAUCAACACCGGAGCUCUCUGUACAUCUGCAAAGAAGUAUUAGAGUUGCUUUAUGAUA